GGGGGCCUCCCGAUGGCGGCGGUGCAGCUGCGGUGUGGUUUGGCGACGAGAUUUCGUGUAAAAAUAUGUUCAUUACAGAUCUUGAACGAGGAUAAGCAAAUUAGUUCCUGAAGCUUCUCUAUCGGGAAGCGCAUGCCGUAAGAACAACUAUAGACGGCAUCACCGCCGUCGCUUAUGGAGCUCCACACCACUGCCCAGUUGUUCGAGAGCAUGUUCAAUCUUCUCGAUUCUAUACUAUGUGCAAAUGGUGAACUCUUUGCCAAACAAGAAGAUACGAGGAUCAGGCAUAUACGCCCCAUAAGGUAGCUAUAUAAAAAUUCAUGUGUUGUAGUGUGGAUUAUGGUCACGCUUUGUCUUGGACUGCAGAUAGCUAGGUUAAUAAAAUGGAUAUUCUGCAUAUUUUUUGAAUUUUUAGUAAGGGCUAGAUGAAUAAUGUAUGCACUAUGCAGUACUUCUGACUUGGGGCACUGAUUAAUUCUCCACAUGAAGGAACAUGGACAGAUGGUGGGCUCCAAGGCCAUGUCGAUGUUGUUGCGCUUGCAGCUUGAGAUCUACUUGGUCCAAAUGAAGAAUCGUCAUUUCAAAUGGUUAGUACAAUUUGCUCAAUGCCAUAAACCUGCACUGAUCUUCACUCAUGUCAUCUGACAGAAGUCUAUUGAAUUUCAAUAAAAUUUUGUUGUAUGUUAUCCAUGACGUAAGUGGAGAUAGGAAGGUCCAAAAAAUUUAAAAAUUGCGGCACAAGGGGGAUGGUCACUAAUUUUUCACUUGAUAAAAUGUUUGUGAAGUAUGGCAAAUUAUGACCUUAGCAAACCUUUUAUUUACAUAUAUUCAUAUAUAUUUUGAAUUUCAGAAACGUGCAUUGCACGUAUAUGGUUAGAUCUUAAUUUUCUUCAUUACUCAACAUAUUUGUACCCACUAGGAUUUCAUUUUUUUUUAUUAUUGAGUAUUAUACUAUUGUUAUUUGUUGUCCACCUUGAUCCUUCACUGCUAUUUUUCCUAGGCAACUUUGCAUGGAAUUAGGAUCACUUAAUAAGGUUCUGCUAUCUUUUUCAUAUUCGCUUGCUUUAUGCAUGAACCUAUCACCAAGAUUUGGAUCUCUUAUAUGCUGCAUCGAUGCUGUUGUAGAUUUGUUAGUGUUGAUUUGUAGUAAGAGGAAAUUUAAUGUUGUUCUCAUCAAUUUAUUUCAUAGCAUGUGUCACAAAUAAAUUUAUUACAGAUCUGGGAAUACCUUUUCUUUUUAGAUAAGUUUAGGCUUGAAUUGUCACAAGUAAAUGGGGGGCGUUGGGUAUAGUUUCAGGAAGCCAGAGCAUCAUAUUUAUUUUGAGCCACAUGGGGCGAAUUACAUCCAUGUAUUAAAAAACUAGGCGCCCGCUUAGGUAGAAAGUACAACUCUUGCUGUCCCGGGGCUUCAUAGUAGUGCUAGAAUUUAAUCAAUGAUCCAUGUACAUGUUGAUUGUUAUGAAACCAUGCGAUGGGAUCUUGAUCUUGACAAUGUCGAAAAAUCUGGUUCAUCAGAGACAAAAUCCCACCUUAAUUCCCCCCUUUGGAUCAUGAAAUAUUGGGGGUUAACACGAUGCUAUGUAAGAUGGGUUGAGAUCUACCAUACGGUAACUUUCUUUUAUUCAAAUAUUCUCUUUUGUUUUGUAGCCUUAAUGUUUUCUGUUGUGGGGUGACAAUGUCAAGGUCUAUGCUAACAAGCAAGAUUUUUUUAUAUGCAGUGAGUAUUGAACAGCGGACAAGUUGCUGCAUCCCUCUUGCAACCUUUACAAUUUAUGUUGGCAACUCUAAUAUAGUGGUUCUAAGACUGUUCAGUGAGAGAUGGAUUGGGUAUAUACCAAGAAGAACUACUCACAUGUUCUAAUUAUUGACUAACAAAUGUCCGCUGCUUUGCUACUGGUAUACGAGAGACCAGAAUCAUCUGAUAUAUAUAUUUGUGCACCAAAUUAUGUUAAGCACAAAGUCAAUGCUGGAGAUACUAAAAACGUACCCUGGUUGCAGUUAUUUAAACUGGUGGGUCUCUUCUCUUAUCAUGUGUAGCCUGUAUGUAUCAAAUGGCACAUGUUUUCCUGAAUGGUCGUGUUUGUUCAUGUUUUGAACAAAUCUGUCUGAUUUUUGCAGCAAGGCUUACAGUGAUCAUAUAUUUCCUACUACAUUGAUUUUAGCAGGAAAAUUCGAGGAAUCUAGAGGAGAUUCAGGGUCUUGGAUAGCACUGAAUACUACCGAAAAAUAGACAUAUUGCAUUCUUGAUCCUUUUUGCUUUUUUUCAUUUUCAUGCUAUUGAAGUACCGAAAAAUUGACUAGUGCUUUCUAUAUAUGUCAAAUUCACUUGUAAUUUCCUGAAGUUUUGUGAAAUAUUGAAGGAUAUCUUGG
rnacentral:rRNA from 1 species